UACAGGGGGUGCAAACGUUGCUCGGAAUCAUUGGGCGUAAAGCGCGCGUAGGUGGCUUCGUAAGUCCGUUGUGAAAGUCAAAGGCUCAACCUUUGAAAGCCGAUGGAUACUGCGGAGCUAGAGUACGGAAGAGGCGAGUGGAAUUCCGUGGUGUAGCGGUGGAAUGCGCAGAUAUCAAGGAGGAACACCAAUAGCGAAGGCAGCUCGCUGGGACGUUAACUGACACUGAGGCGCGAAAGCGUGGGGAGCGAA
rnacentral:rRNA from 1 species